rnacentral:rRNA from 1 species
AGAGUUUGAUCCUGGCUCAGGAUGAACGCUAGCGACAGGCUUAACACAUGCAAGUCGAGGGGCAGCGGGGGUAGCGAUACCCGCCGGCGACCGGCGCACGGGUGAGUAACGCGUAUGCAACUUGCCUAUCAGAGGGGGAUAACCCGGCGAAAGUCGGACUAAUACCGCAUGAAGCAGGGAUCCCGCAUGGGAAUAUUUGCUAAAGAUUCAUCGCUGAUAGAUAGGCAUGCGUUCCAUUAGGCAGUUGGCGGGGUAACGGCCCACCAAACCGACGAUGGAUAGGGGUUCUGAGAGGAAGGUCCCCCACAUUGGUACUGAGACACGGACCAAACUCCUACGGGAGGCAGCAGUGAGGAAUAUUGGUCAAUGGCCGAGAGGCUGAACCAGCCAAGUCGCGUGAGGGAUGAAGGUUCUAUGGAUCGUAAACCUCUUUUAUAAGGGAAUAAAGUGCGGGACGUGUCCCGUUUUGUAUGUACCUUAUGAAUAAGGAUCGGCUAACUCCGUGCCAGCAGCCGCGGUAAUACGGAGGAUCCGAGCGUUAUCCGGAUUUAUUGGGUUUAAAGGGUGCGUAGGCGGCCUUUUAAGUCAGCGGUGAAAGUCUGUGGCUCAACCAUAGAAUUGCCGUUGAAACUGGGGGGCUUGAGUAUGUUUGAGGCAGGCGGAAUGCGUGGUGUAGCGGUGAAAUGCAUAGAUAUCACGCAGAACCCCGAUUGCGAAGGCAGCCUGCCAAGCCAUUACUGACGCUGAUGCACGAAAGCGUGGGGAUCAAACAGGAUUAGAUACCCUGGUAGUCCACGCAGUAAACGAUGAUCACUAGCUGUUUGCGAUACACUGUAAGCGGCACAGCGAAAGCGUUAAGUGAUCCACCUGGGGAGUACGCCGGCAACGGUGAAACUCAAAGGAAUUGACGGGGGCCCGCACAAGCGGAGGAACAUGUGGUUUAAUUCGAUGAUACGCGAGGAACCUUACCCGGGCUUAAAUUGCAGAUGAAUUACGGUGAAAGCCGUAAGCCGCAAGGCAUCUGUGAAGGUGCUGCAUGGUUGUCGUCAGCUCGUGCCGUGAGGUGUCGGCUUAAGUGCCAUAACGAGCGCAACCCUUGCCACUAGUUACUAACAGGUAAAGCUGAGGACUCUGGUGGGACUGCCAGCGUAAGCUGCGAGGAAGGCGGGGAUGACGUCAAAUCAGCACGGCCCUUACAUCCGGGGCGACACACGUGUUACAAUGGCGUGGACAAAGGGAGGCCACCUGGUGACAGGGAGCGAAUCCCCAAACCACGUCUCAGUUCGGAUCGGAGUCUGCAACCCGACUCCGUGAAGCUGGAUUCGCUAGUAAUCGCGCAUCAGCCAUGGCGCGGUGAAUACGU